rnacentral:rRNA from 1 species
AUUAGGAAUCUUGCGCAAUGGGCGAAAGCCUGACGCAGCGACGUCGCGUGACCGAUGAAGUCCUUCGGGAUGUAAAGGUCUUUUGCAGGGGAAGAAGGAUGUGACGGUACCCUGCGAAUAAGCCCCGGCUAACUACGUGCCAGCAGCCGCGGUAAUACGUAGGGGGCGAGCGUUGUCCGGAUUCACUGGGCGUAAAGCGCGCGUAGGCGGGUUGCUAAGUUGGUGGUGAAAUCCCGAAGCUCAACUUCGGAACUGCCUCCAAAACUGGCAGCCUUGAGGUAUGGAGAGGGAAGUGGAAUUCCUGGUGUAGCGGUGAAAUGCGUAGAUAUCAGGAGGAACACCCGUGGCGAAGGCGGCUUCCUGGCCAUAUCCUGACGCUGAGGUGCGAAAGCCAGGGGAGCGAACGGGAUUAGAUACCCCUGUAGUCC